rnacentral:rRNA from 1 species
UGAAAUGCGUAGAUAUCGGGAAGAACACCAGUGGCGAAGGCGCUCUGCUGGGGCCAUUACUGACGCUCAUGGACGAAAGCCAGGGGAGCGAAAGGGAUUAGAUACCCCUGUAGUCCUGGCCGUAAACGAUGAACACUAGGUGUCGGGGGAAUCGACCCCUUCGGUGUCGUAGCUAACGCGUUAAGUGUUCCGCCUGGGGAGUACGCACGCAAGUGUGAAACUCAAAGGAAUUGACGGGGGCCCGCACAAGCGGUGGAGUAUGUGGUUUAAUUCGAUGCAACGCGAAGAACCUUACCAGGGUUUGACAUCCUGCGAACCUCUUAGAAAUUUGAGGGUGCCUUCGGGAAUGCAGUGACAGGUGGUGCAUGGCUGUCGUCAGCUCGUGUCGUGAGAUGUUGGGUUAAGUCCCGCAACGAGCGCAACCCACGUUUUUAGUUGCCAGCAUUUAGUUGGGCACUCUAGAAAGACCGCCGGUGAUAAACCGGAGGAAGGUGUGGAUGACGUCAAGUCAUCAUGCCCCUUACACCCUGGGCUACACACGUACUACAAUGCUACGGACAAAGGGCAGCAAACUCGCGAGAGCUAGCAAAUCCCAUAAACCGUGGCUCAGUUCAGAUCGUAGGCUGCAACUCGCCUACGUGAAGUAGGAAUCGCUAGUAAUCGCAGGUCAGCAUACUGCGGUGAAUACGUUCCCGGGCCUUGUACACACCGCCCGUCACACCAUGGAAGUUGGCCACGCCCGAAGCCGUUACUCCAACCCUUGUGGAGGAGGACGUCGAAGGUGGGGCUGAUGACUGGGGUGAAGUCGUAACAAGGUAACC